ensembl:lncRNA
GGGGCCUAGCGGUGAGUCACCCCCGGCGGAGAGACCUGGCUGCCCCAGAGAAACGCCAGACGAGCCAAACCCCGCUGUCGCCUGCAAUGAGAGCUGAGGCUGCUAGGGCAAAGGGUUGCCUGGGGGGCUGGCACUUCGCGUGUGGGCGGGACCACGGAAUCUGGAAUCAAAUCCCAUCUUCUCACCGAGGCCGUUUCUAGGUGAAGGUGAAGUUGCUGUCAUGUCCGACUCUUUGCGACCCUGUGGACUGUAACCUACUAGGCUUCUCCGUCCAUGGGAUUCUCCAGGUUCAAGACAGGAAAGAGGGAGACCAGGGAUAGAGCACAGAAGCCUAAUUACUUGGAAGGGACUGUGUGUUGAUCUUUCUAGACUCCUAAUGCUCUGUCAUAGCAGCUCACAGCUUAUUGAUCAGUUCUCCUGUGGCCAUCAUGGUAGGGGGCCAGAAGUUCUUUUCUCUUCUGAAAAUCAGGACAAAUUGUUUAUGAGGUUCUAUAGGUUUAGACAUUGGUUACUCAAUAGACUUUUUUUUUUUCAACUGCACACUUCCUAUUUUCUCAUUCCUUGAAUUUAUGGCCAUCUCUCCAUAUAACAUCUUCUGAUAUUUAUAUGCUGGAAGGAAUGGAAAAAUAAAAAUUGAAUGGAAAUAUUAAAAAUGCCUUUCACAAAGAGGGUCUCCUUUCAUCUCUACAAUUAACACAUUAAAACUGUAAAUAUGACAAAUUAGUUGUUGGAAAACACAAAUGGUAGACUUCAGUUAAUGAUAUGGACUCCUGUAUCAGUUAGCUGUGGCUGCAUAACAAACCACUACACAGAAUUAGGGAUUCCCU